rnacentral:rRNA from 1 species
CAGUAGCCGCGGGAAUACCGAGGGUGCGAGCGUUAAUCGGAUUUACUGGGCGUAAAGCGUGCGUAGGCGGCUUCUUAAGUCGGAUGUGAAAUCCCUGAGCUUAACUUAGGAAUUGCAUUCGAUACUGGGAAGCUAGAGUAUGGGAGAGGAUGGUAGAAUUCCAGGUGUAGCGGUGAAAUGCGUAGAGAUCUGGAGGAAUACCGAUGGCGAAGGCAGCCAUCUGGCCUAAUACUGACGCUGAGGUACGAAAGCGUGGGGAGCAAACAGGAUUAGAUACCCCAGUAGUCCCUGUCUCUUAUAC